UUCUGCUACAUCUCAAUACGUAAGUUUUGGUCGUCACCUCUUUCCACCGAUGGCCAACAUGGGCCCAUCCUUGAUUCGUCUCUCCCGCAAACCUCGCCUCCUCCCGGGAAAAUAGCGUCAUCAAAACCGUCUCCUCAGUCAAUCCACCUAGCACAGCGCCCGCCGCCCCUCCCAUCGGCACACCUCCCGUGGCCCCGGCUCCCUUGUCAACGCUCCGCAGUCGCGUAAUCGACGCGGAGGCAGACGCCAGCGUGAGGAAGACGAGUUGGGCUCCCCGCCCACGACCACCCCGAUUGCGGCUGAGGCGGGCGAGGAUCUGGCUCCGGAGGAGGAUGACGCACUCUGGUGUACACCUUCGUCCUUUGCCUCCGAGCGUUCCCACAGUUCAAGGGGGAAGUCAUGGAGCUCGAGGCUGCCAAUCCACCACCGCGCCCGUCCAGGCGGAUGACCUCCUCGAUGGAAACUGGAUCCUCAUGAGGGCGACGAGCUCGCCGUGGAUAGCCGCACAGGAGGUUGGAGAGAAGCUCGCCUGUGGAGGAGGAUGUCGACAAGGACGGCGGGGAGGGGCGGUGCGCAGAAGAGCAGCAAGGACGAGUAUCAAGGUUUGGAUCCGGCGCUACGGCCUGGCAUACGCUGUGCUCUUCUUCGUCCAUGGUCAGCUGUGGAGAGAGAGGGAAGGAGUGGGGAGUCAAGACGAUGGGCAUGAUAGGAUAAGGAGAAAGGAGGACAGCUUCACGGGAGGCAGGCAAGCUGUGCUGUGCACACUUUGGGUCCUUUAGGGAGAAGAAGGUGUACAUGACAAGGCUGUUUUUGCAAUAGUGCAGCUAGCACAAAUAUCCAGGGACCGAUGGCCAGGAUAUGCCUGGGACGCCCACGCCGAUGUAGAAUCGCAUCGUCGGGUGGAAAGGUGUGCCAAUUGUAGAUAUGUCUGCAUCCAGAUGCAUUGGGUCAGGCAGCGAAGAAUUCCCAGGGAUGGAUGGACUACAAGAUCUUUAAAAGGUGCUACAGUUUGUGGGAGGCAAAUGUUGGUGUUAGGGAACUUUAGAAGGAAAUUUUCAUGAAGGAAGCAACAUUCCAGAAGUGGACAUCUCAGCCGAAAGAGUUCAACUCCAAUAUUUGAAUGCAACGUGCCAGAAGAAGAAACAAAUCGGGAUAGCCCGACCAUGAAAGGAAAAUAAAUAGUAAGAAGGGAAUGGUUCAUCGGACAUGGACUUCUUCAGUGAAUGUGGUGAUGCUACCAGAUUGAGAAUUUGGCAAAUCAUUGGCAAAGCGAGUUUGAGUGUCAAGUUUAUUCAUCAAUUGACCAACAUACUGGUAAUAGGGUGGAAAUCAGAAAAUACAAAAUUACUUUGAGCACUGAUCUGAUGUUGCAUGGAUCCUCUGUGAGAUCAGAUUAUUCAGGUUGUUGAGACAUCCUGAUAUAGUUGAGGUCAGACAUAUAAUGCUAUUUCCAUCGAGGAGACUUCCAAUAAUAUUUGUGUUGUAUUUGAGCUGAUGAUGGGUGCAGACCUCCACCAAGUCACCUUGGCCAAUAAUGAUGUAACCAAAGAGCCCAUCAAUUCUCUCUAUCUGAUAAUUCGCGCACUGAAAGUUUUUCAUACUGAAAUAAAAGAAGAUAACAAUGGGACGAUGUGACCAGCGCUGUGCAACCAUGGAACGCCUGGUUGCCAACGUCGCGGAUCCGGUGAAGUCAAGGUCUGCCACUCCGCGUCCGUUGGCGCCGAGGGCUGGGCCGCCACCUUGCUGUGAGCCUCGCUGCCUCGUACUGUUAGACCUCUGAAAUUAACUCUACACUGCAAGCAUUGGCAUCUCGUCCAUAUGCCAAAUAAUCUCUGAUGUGUCUGCUACGAUGUUGACUACAAAAGGGGAAGUUGAUGAUACCUCUGAUUUUGGCAUACGGACCUGAACCAGCUGGCUGCUUCUCAGGUAAUUAAACAACAAGCUAUUCUCCAGUUCAGUUCAAGAAAGCCUAAGGUAUGUAAGCGGAACUAUCUCUACAACUAACUUUACAUGUUUUCUUGCUUGACGAAGAUGCCACAUCUUGAGGUAAGGUUGGUAUGAAUAUCCUGUAGAACACUUGAAAUGAAAAUAGGUUGAGCCUCAAUCGUUGCAGGUUCAAGAUUUCACACUGUUGACAACUUUGUAUGCUUCAAUGACCUUUUUUUGCAAUUGAUUCCGCUUAUGCAAGGUAAAGAUGCACUGGUGGUAAAUUUCACCUGUGUUCACUGGACCAAGAAAAUGAAUUCUUUUGGCAACAAAAUUUUCAGGUAAUUUGUGCAGUGCUACAUAUGUAUGUUUAGCACAGAGCUACUCGAAGCAAGUGCGCUUAUGUCUAUAAAUAAACAGAUGGUUUUUCUGCCAACUGAAUAGGCUUAUUUCCUAUCAACUUUAGUUCCAUUGUUCUACUUGCAGCUUGAAACUUACGUUGGUAAUGGUGGAGCAAGAAAAAUCUACAACAAACAUCAUUACUAAUGAAAAGAUUGUGAAUAGUAUAGCAGAUCAUAAAUAAGAGUUAUCACCGUGCAGUGAUUGGCUCCAUCUUGAUUAGUCUCUUAAAUGAUAUUUGCAUAUUGAUCCUGGUAGUUUGGAGAGGAGUGACAAACAUAUCACUCCCUUUUGUAUUUAAAAAUCGCAUUAAGGUAGUUAGUUGAGGCAAACUGGUUAACCUCAGUAGCUAUAUGGGGGGAUUUUACAAUUUUCCAUUUUGUGUGUCACUGACAUGUGGCAAAUAAUAGACACUUCAAAGAAAAGUUUGGAAAAUCAUAAAAUAUCCCAGCUAGAUGUGAUUCUUGUAGCAGCAAACUAUAUUGCCAUUGUAUUUUCUUCAGCGACAUACAAGAAAGUUAAAUCAUAUUAUGUAACCCUGAGAUCGAGUAGCAUUGUGCAUUGAGGAUUUUCACCAUAUUAUGUAAACUGUGGACUUAAAUACAAAUCUGUCAGGGGUACCAACCAUAUAGUUGUUAUCUAGCUAUCAUCACACAAACAGAUUACGGGCCAUAUUGUUUUGUUCAAGCAUUCCCCUUCAAGUUAAAAAUGCUACACUACACACUACUCAAGAUGCACAUGAAGUUCUCAGAUCUAUAUGAACUAUUCAUAUUGUCUAUUACGAAGAUGUCAACAGAAUUCAGGUUUGUUUGUUUUACUAUUGCAUAAUAAGCUAUAUUUUCUCGUUGUAGAAAUGCUGGUUUUAUUGAACAAUUUGAACUUCUCACAGCACUGAAGUAAAUCUCUACUAUAUACUCCCUCCGUUCCUGAAUAUAAGCCAUAUAGUUUUUGAGAAAAAUUUCAAAAUAUAGGCUUUAGUGCGACACACCACUUGUAUGGAAUUUUUUUUAGGGAUUUGAUUAGAUAUUUUUUUUUAUCUUAUGCAAAGUCCUCUAUUUCUCAUGUCAAAUGUAUAGGGGUAAUCCCGCCCAAACCUGGUGUAGUUUUCUUUUAAUAUGCGUUCUUUAAUUUCCAUGUCAAAAACUAUACGGUUUAUAUUUAGGAACGGAGGGAGUAUAUUGAUGUGCUUAUGGAAGAUUCAGAAAACACCCCAGGUAGCAUGACAGCUAUAAGUUAGUACAAGGAAAACACCACAUGCUCUGGAUCAACCACAGUAGCUAUAAUGAUCCUUUCAUAUCUCUUGAGUGGACGAACUAAGAUUUCAUUACUGGUUCUACACGAACACUGUGCACCAUUAUCCAUUACCUCAUGACCCAGCUCAAGGAAGCAGAUCCGAGUAGAAAGUUGCGGACGCUGGGCUCCUAUUAUGUACCUCGCAAGCAGAGCGCCUCCACAAUGCUACGAUGCUCCCCUGAAGAACCACCGCAUGUACCUGCAAGUACGAUCAAUCAAACCCAAUAACCACUGACUGCGUACGCACAGAUUUGAGAAAAUAUUUGAACGACUUCAGAGUUCCCUUUCUGUACAUACCCUGAUGAAAAUACUUAAUGACUUCAUAUUUGUGAGGAAGCAGAACUCCUGUGUGUACCUUGCAGUAGCCGCCACAGUAAUCAUUAAGAUGAGAUGUCACCUUUCUUUAAAAAAUAGACAUAAGAUUUUCCUAGGUGGCCUCGCAAAUCCCACGCGCAUGUAUUUAUUACCACUUUCCUAAAAAGUUGCAUAUGUAUGACCCAUCGAUUUGGUUAGCAACCAAUCCAUCCGCAUCAUUCUCGAAUACCCAAAUAUUGCUCUACCUUCGAGCCAAUAAACUGGGCACGCAAACCACGACCUAUGCAAACAGCUACAACAGCGAAAAUUAGUGGAGCACGUCGACGUAUCGAUUUGGUUUCGGGUAAGUUUGAUGAGUCACUAAUGUUUACUGUCUAUAAUUAGCUACAGGCAAUGCGCAAUCAGGUUGGGAGCUCGGAAAUCUUACCGAGCUAGCUUCCUCGUUUGUGCAACGCGGGGAGGGGCAGCGGGAUGGUGACACCAUGGCGUGGCGGGAAGAGGUGGCGGCGGCCUGCAGGGGCUUCGCGUCGAUCUCCAUUGUGGCUCUAAGGAGGACCCGUCGCUGGGGGAAAUUGGAGGGGGCACGGUUGCUCUCGACUAUGGCAUGCCGCUGCGGCUGGCUAUGCAGCAUAUAGGAUGUGGCUCGUCGGUGGAGAAAGGCAGGAGAAGACAAGAGAGGAAGAGAGGUGAGAUGCGUGGUGACUGGUGUGAGAUUGGGAGCUACCUACUACUGUUCUGUGAGUGGUGUUGUUGUGUGAGUGGUACUACCGUGCUACUGCGAUUCUUUCCACGGUCGGACAUAGUGUUGUUUCAUCUUCAGUUUGUCUAAUUGUGAAUACUA